UUGAAGAAAAAAAUGUUAUAAAAUGAAGGUAGUGUAUCCUAUGUGUACAGUGUGGAUAAAGUCUACAGUAGUGAACAGUGACGUCCUAGACCUUCACAUUCACUCACCACCCUCUCACUGACUCAGCCAGAGCAACCUCCAGUCCUGCAAACUCCUUUCAUGUUUGCGUCAAAUGCCGAAUGACCGUAGAAAGGUGGACGUUGAGUUCUUCAGCAGCUUCUGGUGUAGUUGUAAGAGGACCAGCUUCCGUGAUUGCUCUCAGUUGGUGGUUGUCAACUUCCGACGACUGGCCGCUACGCUCCUCAUCUUCAAGGCUCUCCUCUCUUUUGCAAAACUUCUUGAACCCCCACUGCACGGUAACUGUGGCCACGUGGACCAAGCCAACGCCGGCUCCUCUCAUUCCCAUUGAGAUCAGCAAGGCAACUCCAGCCUGUACCACCAAUAUCCCCAGGCCAGGAGAACAGCCAGUGAAAGCCCAUUUGAAAGACUGCCAUAUUCCUCACCAAUCCGUUUCUCAAGGCCAAGGUGAGUGGAGAGCCUUCCAGCCCUCACGGGAGCCACAUGGAGG